ACCCAACAGUUUCACCAUAAAGUCUCAUUUUGUAAUUCAUAAUGCUGGAGGUGUGCACGAAAGAGUAAUGGAGGUAUUGUAGCCAUGGAUUGAAAAAGGAUAUGUUACGCGACAUGAUAUCAGAGAUCAGGAAAGGUUUGAUGGCUAUUAUAACAAUAAAUUUCUCAUUGUGAAUGAUUGUUUGCAGAAAUACAGAUUUCUAGCCAAAUGGAUGUUUUUCUUUGAUGAGAUGAGUUCAUAUUUGUGCCUAAAAAGAGUGCUAUCAAGUCUUUGGUUGAUUCGUUAUCAGAUUAUUACACAGUUCACCACUGAACGAAUGUCAAUGUCUAACAAAAUCUGUUUAGAAGAAGUCCACGACAAAUGUUUCUGAAUCUGAUAAUUGACAACUGUGAUUAUAAGGUCGAUCAAUUCUGCUCAAUGCCUUUAAGCGAAAUCUUAAAUUAUUGGUAUAGUAGUACAGUUUUGGUGGUUCUAAAUUUAUAUUUAUUUAAAGGUUCUUUGAUGAUGGAUAGUGAAAUGUUCAAUAGAGACUUGACCACAAGUAGGUUUGGAACAUAUAUUCUCGAGAUGAACCUUCUCUGGUGGUUGAAUCUUGAAUAAUUGAGAUGCUUAAUGGGUUGCAAAAGUUAGAUGCCAUGGAGGGAGUAUCGGGUAACUCUGACCACAUAACAGAGCUUAGACAAGUAUAUUCCUGUAUUUCUGGUUCUUUUGAGGUCCAAGUGGCAGCUAUGCAUGCUAUAGUUCUUUAACUGCUCUACACUGCUUUUUGUCCCUGUUAUGCAAUUUAUUCUUAGCUUUGUAAUUUACUUCUCUGUUCUGCUUUUUGUUGUGAUUAUAGUGAAAUUAAUGUGUCCUGCUUUCAGCCUCGGUGAAACUAAAUUGAAUAGCCUUUAAGCUUCGGAAAGAUAAGAGAAGUAGUCUGGACAACCACAAGCUACUAUUUUUCGUUGAACAACAGGGGCUUGUCAAGAAAAUAAUCUUGCCAAUGGGCUUUUUCUCAGCUAUAAACAGUAACAACAUUCAAUUCCUUUUUACUUUUUCUAAUGGAUCUUUCUCCUGACUUGUGAAUAAGAGAUUUUAAAGUUUCUUCCUUGUAUAAACAUUGAUCAAUACAGUGAUACAUCACUUGUCAAUAUCCAUUUUUUUGUGUAAUCUAUAAUCAUAAGUAGAUGUUAUACAUAAUAAAUAUAGCGACAUAGUUGGUGUAGAAGAUGUCAUAUAGAGUUCGAAGUGACAACAGAUUCUCAACUUGUAGGGAAUUUCUAGUACAGUCAAUAAGGGGGCUUCAACAUCCUCAACUAUAUCCAUUUUGCACCACCAAAAGACUGUAAAUAUAAAAUCGCAGACUAGGGUGAAGGAUGAGUUUUGUUUGUGACUUAAUACUAUGCUUAGAAAUUAAGCGUGAUUGUAUGAACUUGCUUAAAUUUCUUUAUUGAAGAUAGCUUGAAAUUAAGUGACAUAUUUUUAAUGGUAAGAGAGGGUCUAUCAGAAACAAUCUCUCUACCUUCAUAAGGUAGGGGUUAGGUUGUGUACACACCACCCUCCCCAGACAUCAAGUCUAUGGGUGUGUUGUUAUAUUCCAAGUGGUAAGAGGCGUAAUGUAGGCGCAAGAAAAUCGAAGUUUGUCUCUGAUGGUGAUAGUCAACUUUUCAAGGUCUUCCAUUUUGGAAUUCUUCUUUGCCAACUCUAUUUAAAUCAAUCAUUUUCUAAGCAACAAGUUGAUGCAAAUUAGAGGUUGUGGUGCUCUGAUGGUGAUGGUCAAGGUCUUCUUUGCUAACUUUACUUUAAUUAAAUCAAUCCAAUAGCAAGUAAUAUUUUGGUCCAAUUUUAAGACAAAGUAGAUACUGAGAUUGUAUUAGAUAAGGUUAAUGUAAUUAUAUAUGAAACAAGUAGUCAUUCAACAACAAUUCCCUGGCAUUAAGUUCAUCUGUUGAUGCUGAUGUUAAGCGCUCUCAAUUAUUGUUCUGCCCAACACUACUCUAAGGAUCUGAUUGUUGUUCUGUAAAUAAACUUCUUGUUGGUGUCCAUUAUGUUACAAUUUUGGCAUAAAAAUAUAAAACAUUAUGACUGAAUAAAUCUAUUGACUUGAAAUGGAAACUAACUAGAUGAAAAAUUGUACUAUGACUUACAUUCUUCUACAUAUAUGUACAUUUCUGCAUAUAUUGGUACAUAAUUCUCUGUAGACAGAAAUAAUUAGAAUUUUUUCUCACUUUUUUCAUUAUCUUAUAAAAUGCAUGUGAGUUGAUUCUACUUGAGAUAGAGGGUUCAAAAGAGAUGUUUGUCUUUCUUAGUUAAGGCCACAUUACAGCCGGUUCAGUCAACUCAGGCUGCAUCACAACCAAUUUCCUCAAAUCAGGCUGAAUCACAAUCAACUUCAUUAAAUUAGGCCGAAUCAUAACAAGAACUAUUCAAGAAGCGUGUUGUUAGACAUGAGUCUACGGAAUAUUGGACCAUAGAAGCAAUAGCUAUGCUAUUGAUGGUCUAGCAGGCGGUGAAGAUAUAGACUCCAUUUGGCAUGUCGUGGCUCAGUGUACUGCUGCACUACCUAAGCAUAAACCAUGAUAUGUAAUGGGGUGGGUUACUCACUAGACAUUGUAUAGUGCUUUAGGUGCUGACAUGUAUGAUUGUGUCUAUCCUACUCGUACCGCUCUUUUUGUCACCGCUCUAAUACCUGAGACAGGCGAUGCUAGUGAUACUAGUCGUAGUGACAUCGUUGAAGUUCUAUGAAUAGUUGCAAACCUUUUCUUGAGUAUGGAUGGUAGUGAAUCUUUUCAUCAAUAAAAGCAAGACUACUGACUAAUAGUUUUUAUACUGAUUUGAAGUUUCUAGUAAUCAUAAUGGUUGAAGUGAAUGAUAUUUUUUCAGUUUAAUUUGUAAAACUAAUAUUACACUUUGUAAUAUAUUUUUUGUGUUGAAAUGUUAUUUCUUAAUGCUAAUAAGCCCUUUUAGGUCA